UACGGGGGGGAGCAAGCGUUUGUUCGGAUUUACUGGGCGUAAAGGGCGCGUAGGCGGCCACCGCAAGUCGACUGUGAAAUCUCCGGGCUUAACCCGGAAAGGUCAGCCGAUACUGCGGGGCUAGAGUGCAGAAGGGGCAACUGGGAAUUCUCGGUGUAGCGGUGAAAUGCGUAGAUAUCGAGAGGAACACCUGCGGCGAAAGCGAUGCACUGGACCUCUUCUGACGCUGAGGCGCGAAAGCGUGGGGAGCAAACAGG
rnacentral:rRNA from 1 species